rnacentral:rRNA from 1 species
UACGGGGGGGGCGAGCGUUGUUCGGAAUUACUGGGCGUAAAGGGUUCGUAGGUGGCCAACUAAGUCAGACGUGAAAUCCCUCAGCUUAACUGGGGAACUGCGUCUGAUACUGGUUGGCUUGAGUGCAGGAGAGGAACGCGGAAUUCCAGGUGUAGCGGUGAAAUGCGUAGAUAUCUGGAGGAACACCGGUGGCGAAGGCGGCGUUCUGGACUGCAACUGACACUGAGGAACGAAAGCCAGGGGAGCAAACAGG